UGUUGUUAUGCAAAAGCCUGUGCUCUUGCCCUUUAUCUUCGAUAUGACCAAGUAUAAGAAGUAAGCGGCAACGCCGCAACGACGAUGGAUUUCAAUAUGCGAUGUUGCAGAUAGCAACACGCAAAGUUGUGUCUAUUCGCGGGCAGUAAGUUGAGUAUAUAAGGUUAAGAGCUUGUUACCACAGAUUCUGGACCUGAAGACAUGGAACAGUGAAGAUAGUGAAUAAGAACGAGACAAUGAAAUGAAAUGUCCAUCAAGCUGUCAGGAUUAAGAACUGUUAUCGAUGGACUUGUGCAAUAAUUAGUAAUGAUAAAAGUCAAAGUAGUAGCAUACAGGAUAUCAUAAAGAGAACGACAAAUUAAGUAACGAAAAUGUUUUCGUCAUAAUGAAAUUAUACUGCGCAGACCGGUCGAUGAUAG